rnacentral:lncRNA from 1 species
GUCAUAGGAGAAAAGUAGGGUUUAAAGGCCCUCUCUUCCCAUUCGAUGGGGUCUCCUAUGACGGUAGGGGUGUCGAUGCAAUUAUAUCCCAUACCGAUGAAGCAGCGAAAUGACUUAAUUAUAAAAUUUAUCAUGAAUGUGUUAGAUUAGAUCUAAAAGAAAAUUCAUAAUUUAUUUUGAGUUAUUUUCUGUUAUGAAAUGAGCAAUAGAAUUGCUGUUUAUGAAUUGUGCUGACCCGUUUGUGAAAUGAGUCAACACAUUUGGUGAACAGAAAAUAAA